rnacentral:rRNA from 2 species
AAGCAGUUACUGUUAACUGAAUACAUAGGUUAACAGAGCAAACCGGGGGAACUGAAACAUCUAAGUACCCCGAGGAGAAGAAAUCAACCGAGAUUCCGGUAGUAGCGGCGAGCGAACCUGGAUUAGCCCUUAAGCACUCGGUGAAGUAGGUGAACAAGCUGGAAAGCUUGGCGAUACAGGGUGAUAGCCCCGUAACCGACGCUUCAUCGAGCGUGAAAUCGAGUAGGGCGGGACACGUGAUAUCCUGUCUGAAUAUGGGGGGACCAUCCUCCAAGGCUAAAUACUCCUGACUGACCGAUAGUGAACCAGUACCGUGAGGGAAAGGCGAAAAGAACCCCUGUGAGGGGAGUGAAAUAGAACCUGAAACCGUGUACGUACAAGCAGUAGGAGCACCUUCGUGGUGUGACUGCGUACCUUUUGUAUAAUGGGUCAGCGACUUAUAUUCAGUGGCAAGGUUAACCGUAUAGGGGAGCCGUAGCGAAAGCGAGUCUUAACUGGGCGCUCAGUCUCUGGAUAUAGACCCGAAACCGGGUGAUCUAGCCAUGGGCAGGUUGAAGGUUGAGUAACAUCAACUGGAGGACCGAACCGACUAAUGUUGAAAAAUUAGCGGAUGACUUGUGGCUAGGGGUGAAAGGCCAAUCAAACUCGGAGAUAGCUGGUUCUCCCCGAAAGCUAUUUAGGUAGCGCCUCGGACGAAUACUACUGGGGGUAGAGCACUGUUAAGGCUAGGGGGUCAUCCCGACUUACCAACCCUUUGCAAACUCCGAAUACCAGUAAGUACUAUCCGGGAGACACACGGCGGGUGCUAACGUCCGUCGUGGAGAGGGAAACAACCCAGACCGCCAGCUAAGGUCCCAAAGUAUUGCUAAGUGGGAAACGAUGUGGGAAGGCUCAGACAGCUAGGAUGUUGGCUUAGAAGCAGCCAUCAUUUAAAGAAAGCGUAAUAGCUCACUAGUCGAGUCGGCCUGCGCGGAAGAUGUAACGGGGCUAAGCAAUACACCGAAGCUGCGGCAAUGCCUUUUAGGUAUUGGGUAGGGGAGCGUUCUGUAAGCCGUUGAAGGUGGUCUGUAAGGGCUGCUGGAGGUAUCAGAAGUGCGAAUGCUGACAUGAGUAACGACAAAGGGGGUGAAAAACCUCCUCGCCGGAAGACCAAGGGUUCCUGUCCAACGUUAAUCGGGGCAGGGUGAGUCGACCCCUAAGGUGAGGCCGAAAGGCGUAAUCGAUGGGAAACGGGUUAAUAUUCCCGUACUUCUGACUAUUGCGAUGGGGGGACGGAGAAGGCUAGGUGGGCCAGGCGACGGUUGUCCUGGUUCAAGUGCGUAGGCUUAAGAGUUAGGUAAAUCCGGCUCUUUCUAAGGCUGAGACACGACGUCGAGCUGCUACGGCAGUGAAGUCAUUGAUGCCAUGCUUCCAGGAAAAGCCUCUAAGCUUCAGAUAGUCAGGAAUCGUACCCCAAACCGACACAGGUGGUCGGGUAGAGAAUACCAAGGCGCUUGAGAGAACUCGGGUGAAGGAACUAGGCAAAAUGGUACCGUAACUUCGGGAGAAGGUACGCUCUUGAUGGUGAAGUCCCUUGCGGAUGGAGCUGACGAGAGUCGCAGAUACCAGGUGGCUGCAACUGUUUAUUAAAAACACAGCACUGUGCAAAAUCGCAAGAUGACGUAUACGGUGUGACGCCUGCCCGGUGCCGGAAGGUUAAUUGAUGGGGUUAGCGCAAGCGAAGCUCUUGAUCGAAGCCCCGGUAAACGGCGGCCGUAACUAUAACGGUCCUAAGGUAGCGAAAUUCCUUGUCGGGUAAGUUCCGACCUGCACGAAUGGCGUAAUGAUGGCCACGCUGUCUCCACCCGAGACUCAGUGAAAUUGAAAUCGCUGUGAAGAUGCAGUGUACCCGCGGCUAGACGGAAAGACCCCGUGAACCUUUACUACAGCUUGGCACUGAACAUUGAACCUACAUGUGUAGGAUAGGUGGGAGGCUAUGAAGACGUGACGCUAGUUGCGUUGGAGCCGUCCUUGAAAUACCACCCUUGUAUGUUUGAUGUUCUAACUUAGACCCGUUAUCCGGGUUGAGGACAGUGCCUGGUGGGUAGUUUGACUGGGGCGGUCUCCUCCCAAAGAGUAACGGAGGAGCACGAAGGUGGGCUAAUCACGGUUGGACAUCGUGAGGUUAGUGCAAUGGCAUAAGCCCGCUUAACUGCGAGAAUGACGGUUCGAGCAGGUGCGAAAGCAGGUCAUAGUGAUCCGGUGGUUCUGUAUGGAAGGGCCAUCGCUCAACGGAUAAAAGGUACUCCGGGGAUAACAGGCUGAUACCGCCCAAGAGUUCAUAUCGACGGCGGUGUUUGGCACCUCGAUGUCGGCUCAUCACAUCCUGGGGCUGAAGUCGGUCCCAAGGGUAUGGCUGUUCGCCAUUUAAAGUGGUACGCGAGCUGGGUUUAGAACGUCGUGAGACAGUUCGGUCCCUAUCUGCCGUGGGCGUUGGAAGAUUGAAGGGGGCUGCUCCUAGUACGAGAGGACCGGAGUGGACGAACCUCUGGUGUUCGGGUUGUGUCGCCAGACGCAUUGCCCGGUAGCUAAGUUCGGAAUUGAUAAGCGCUGAAAGCAUCUAAGCGCGAAGCGAGCCCUGAGAUGAGUCUUCCCUGAUACUUUAAGUAUCCUAAAGGGUUGUUCGAGACUAGAACGUUGAUAGGCAGGGUGUGUAAGCGUUGUGAGGCGUUGAGCUAACCUGUACUAAUUGCCCGUGAGGCUUAACCAUACAACACCCAAGGGGUUUUGUA